UAAAACACAUAAAUAAAAAUAAACAAUGCUUGGUUUCCAAAAAGCAUGUGGAAACUCCUUUGAGCCCUCCAUGUUGAAAAAUGAAAAUAAGUGACUUCUGAUUGCUGAAUAUCCUCUUUUCAUUCAUAGAAAACUAGUUAAAAUAAGCUAUGAAACCUUGAAAUAAAUGGAGCAUUUGACAAAAAGCAGGUGAGGGUUUGAUGGAGUCUAUUUUAUCCCCAGCCAUUUUUCUGGUUUGGAUUUAUAUGCUGCAAUAUUGACUUUUUAGAAUAUUUUGGGGGAGUAUUACACCCUGUUUUUUGUAUUGAUUUGGUUUACAACCUAUCUUCGUACUCUGCUAAGUAGUCAAGUCAGUUAAAAAUGUAAAAUAUAUAAAUAAUAGGAUGAUUAAAAUAUUCAUUGUUUUAAAGAUUUCAAAAGAUUAAAAGAUUAAAAUUAACACCCACAUCAUACUAAAAUCAUGUAUUCAUUAAAAACCUAGUCCAAAUGCCCUAAAGACUUGAGGAUCAACCAUAAUAAUCGAAAGGAUGUGUUCCAUGAUCUGUGAGCACCUGAGUGUCAUGCAGUAGAAACCCUGGCCUUUUGUAUGCAUUGACACCACAUACAUAUACAAAGUGCAGCAUCCCCAUCUUUAUGCCUUCCACAUGAGUUGAGCAACGCCUAUCAUCCUAACCAGAUGACAUUUCACAGAAUUAGGCCACCAUCCUCUGGAUUACUGCUGGAAUCCAAAUGAAACGUCCAACCGAAAGCAUUGCUUGAACAUAUCUGGUGAAAAGAGAUCAUACCGGCAAUUGGUAAAAAAAAACAAAAAAACCCCCUUCAGUGCACAUCUUAAGUGGCCUUGAAGUGACUUGCCAUCUUAAAAGCUGUUCUUAGAAUAAAAGGAAUCACUUAGUUUCUUGGUUUCUAACCUGAUGCCUUAACCACUAAACCAAAAUGGGUCUCCAAAUAUGAAUAAAUAUCCUGAUGGUGUAUUCAGGCUUAUAUGGUCUAAGAUGGCUGCCUGAGGAAAAUAUGGAAAAGGCAACGUCUAUACUGAUUAGUACAGGUAAUCCUCGACUUAUAACUAUUUGUUUAGUGUCCAUUCUAAAUUACAAGGGAUUUUAAAAAAUGAUAUCACCUGUUUUCACAUGUAUGUCAGUUGCAUUUGGCAACUGACAUAUAUUUAUGACAGUUACACCAUCCCGGGUAAUGUAAGCUUCCCAGCUAGCUUCCGACAAGCAAAGUCAAUGGGGAAAGCCAGCUUUGCUUCG